rnacentral:lncRNA from 1 species
UAUUCCCGCAUUAUACUGGUGGGCGACCUAGAACUUAAAUGUAUUCCCGCAUUAUACUGGUGGGAGACCUAGAACUUAAAUGUAUUCCCGCAUUAUACUGGUGGGCAACCUAGAACUUAAAAGUAUUCCCGCAUUAUACUGGUGGGCGACCUAGAACUUAAAUGUAUUCCCGCAUUAUACUAGUGGGCGACCUAGAACUUAAAUGUAUUCCUGCAUUAUACUGGUGGGCGACCUAGAACUUAAAAUGUAUUUGAAAUUGUUUCCCCGUUCUUCCGAGAAAAUUUUCGACAAUCGGUAGAAAAUUUUCUGCCCCGAUUUUUGGUGGUUUCCCUGGCGUUGCAUUUUGCUCCCCUUAUCAAUCCUUUGUUUUCCUGCAGCAGACAAAAGGAUUUAGUUAGUUUUAAUCGUGGUGGUAGAGGGUGCCUUUCCGGCUGAUGAUUUUUCCUCUCUUCCCUUUUUCUUGCUCUAUGUCCCCAUAA